rnacentral:lncRNA from 1 species
AAUUCACUAUCCCUUUUCUAUCGCAAAUUUUAUCUUAUUUUAAAUCAUUAAAAUACAUCUUGAUCUCAUUCUACUAAUAUACCGAGAGUGACGAACUUAGUAAUGAUGUAUCAUAUUACCUUGUAAUAUUUAAUUAGGUAUACCCUCAAUGGUUGUGUUAAUCAUCAAAAUAACACUAUCAUCCUCAAUCUCCCCCCUUUUGAUGAUUACAAAAUAUUGAGUAUGAGCAAAUUGAUUCUUAUCUUAAAAUUAGUUUUAGAAGGGCUCAAGUUGCUGAAUUUCAGCUUUUCAUAUUUGAGAGUGAAGUCUCCCCCUAUUUCAUCCAAAUAUUGCCAAUUUGAACUUUUGAUUUACUCCCCCUUUCUUUUAUAUUUGGUUAAAGAUGAAACGUCAAAAAUUUGAGAUAAAGCAAGAGUUUCAGAUUAUGUAUCGAGGUGUGAGAGGUAUGUGCCAAAUUCUGAAAUUUGAUUAAAAGUUUAGAUUUUAAUACAUAUCGCUCCCCCUUAAGUGUAUAUU